AAAGUGGUUGAUACCCUGCUUCCAAGAAAAGCCUCUAAGCUUCAGGUAAUAAGGAACCGUACCCCAAACCGACACAGGUGGUCAGGUAGAGAAUACCAAGGCGUUUGAGAGAACUCGGGUGACGGAACUAGGCAAAAUGGUACCGUAACUUCGGGAGAAGGUACGCCGGUGAUUGUGAUGGGACUUGCUCCCUGAGCGAGAGCCGGUCGAAGAUACCAGGCCGCUGCAACUGUUUAUUAAAAACACAGCACUCUGCAAACACGAAAGUGGACGUAUAGGGUGUGGCGCCUGCCCGGUGCCGGAAGGUUAAUUGAUGGGGUCAGCCGCAAGGCGAAGCUCUUGAUCGAAGCCCCGGUAAACGGCGGCCGUAACGAUAACGGUCCUAAGGUAGCGAAAUUCCUUGUCGGGUAAGUUCCGACCUGCACGAAUGGCGUAAUGAUGGUGGCGCUGUCUCCACCCGAGACUCAGUGAAAUUGAAAUCGCUGUGAAGAUGCAGCGUACCCGCGGCAAGACGGAAGGACCCCGUGAACCUUUACUAUAGCUUCACAGUGGACUUUGAUAUUACUUGUGUAGGAUAGCUGGGAGGCUUUGAAACCUGGACGCCAGUCCGGGUGGAGCCAUCCGUGAAAUACCAGCCUGGUAAUCUUGAGGUUCUAACGCAGGUCCAUUAUCUGGAUCGCGGACACUGUGUGGUGGGUAGUUUGACUGGGGCGGUCUCCUCCCAAAGAGUAACGGAGGAGCACGAAGGUGUGCUAAUCACGGUCGGACAUCGUGAGGUUAGUGUAAAGGCAUAAGCACGCUUGACUGCGAGACUGACAAGUCGAGCAGGUACGAAAGUAGGUCUUAGUGAUCCGGUGGUUCUGUAUGGAAGGGCCAUCGCUCAACGGAUAAAAGGUACUCCGGGGAUAACAGGCUGAUUCCGCCCAAGAGUUCACAUCGACGGCGGAGUUUGGCACCUCGAUGUCGGCUCAUCACAUCCUGGGGCUGAAGCCGGUCCCAAGGGUAUGGCUGUUCGCCAUUUAAAGUGGUACGCGAGCUGGGUUUAGAACGUCGUGAGACAGUUCGGUCCCUAUCUGCCGUGGGCGUUGGAGAUUUGAGGGAAGCUGCUUCUAGUACGAGAGGACCGAAGUGGACGAACCUCUGGUGUUCCGGUUGUAUCGCCAGAUGCAUUGCCGGGUAGCUAUGUUCGGACGGGAUAACCGCUGAAAGCAUCUAAGCGGGAAGCCCCUCCCAAGAUUAGAUCUCCCUGGGGCCUUGAGCCCCCUGAAGAGCCGUUGAAGACUACAACGUUGAUAGGCUGGGUGUGUAAGCGCUGUAAGGCGUUGAGCUAACCAGUACUAAUUGCUCGUGAGGCUUGACCAA
rnacentral:rRNA from 1 species